rnacentral:rRNA from 1 species
UACGUAGGGUGCGAGCGUUAAUCGGAAUUACUGGGCGUAAAGCGUGCGCAGGCGGUUCGUUAAGUUCGUUGUGAAAGCCCCGGGCUCAACCUGGGAACUGCAAUGGAAACUGGCGGGCUUGAAUGCGGCAGAGGGGGGUGGAAUUCCGCGUGUAGCAGUGAAAUGCGUAGAGAUGCGGAGGAACACCGAUGGCGAAGGCAGCCCCCUGGGUUAACACUGACGCUCAGGCACGAAAGCGUGGGGAGCAAACAGG